rnacentral:rRNA from 1 species
AUGGACAACUCUUCAGAUGCUCACAGCCGUCACAGUUGCGCGGCGUGCUACCGUCAGUUCAACCGGAUGGAGCACCUGGUGGAGCACAUGCGGUCGUCGCACCACUCCCACCACGAGCCCCGCUGCGGCGUCUGCGGCAAGCACUGCCGCUCCCUCGACGCCCUCCGCGACCACCUCGGCUUCGGCGCCUCCCUGCCCUCCAAGCCCGCCUGCGCCGCCACCUUCCAAGCCCACGGCUGCCCGCUCUGCCUCGCCGUCUUCCCCACCUCCGCCGCCCUUCGCGCCCACCGCCCAGCAUGCAAGCUCUCCGGCGCCCCCCAUCCUUCCUCGGUGCAGAGCCUCACGAGGACUAUGUCGAGGGUGGGCGCGCGAGGCGGCCGCGGCGCGGUGGCGCUGGGGUGCAAGAUGGUGGGCGGCGGGAGCGACGGCACGCUGGACGUGUGCGCGCGCGUCUGCGUCGUCGACGAGCACGAGGCCAUCCUCUACGAGAGCUUCGUGAAGCCCCUCAUCCCGGUCACGCACUACCGGUACGAGACCACGGGCAUCCGGCCCGAGCACCUGCGCGACGCGCCGACGGUGAAGCAGGCGAUGAGGCGGGUCCAGGACAUCCUCCUCAACGGCGAGCAAUCUUAUUACUCCUCCCGCGGCGCGGCCCGGCUCCUCGUCGGCCACGGGCUGGAGCACGACCUCGACGCGCUCGGCAUGGACUACCCGGCGCACCUCAGGCGGGACACGGCCGCGUACCCGCCGCUGAUGAAGACGAGCGCCAGGCUCAUGAGCAACUCGCUCCGGUAUCUCACGCGGAGCUGCCUGGGCUAUGACAUACAGACCGGCGGACACCAUCACCCCUACGACGACUGCGUGGCCGCCAUGCGCCUCUACAAGAGGAUGCGCGCCAUGAGUCACCUGCACCUGCACGGCCGGCCCAAGGACGACGAUGAUGAGUCCGCGGUCAAGGCCUUCCCGGCGUGGAGGCAGCGAGAGCUGGAGCGCAUGUCGCCGGAGGAGCUCCUGGCGAUGUCCAAGCCCGACUACCGAUGUUGGUGCCUCGACGACGACCGCCGAUGCUGA